GGUGCAGCAGCAGUGUAGAUCAGGUUGUCCCCUAGCUCUCAGUAAUCAGUAAUAAGAAUAUGAGUUGUCAAUGUUUUGUCUUGGCAGGAAUAUACAUGCAGAAUGCUAACUCUGCCAGGUCAAAGAGCAUACAGCACAGGCAGCUCCAGAGCUCCAAAAGCCACUCCAUAUGAACAUCACAGUUACUGCCGAAAAUAUAGCUCUUACUAAUCCAUCCAAUACUGCAUUUAACUCACGAAAAAUCUUGAAGUGCUAAACUCAGCUCCUGAGCAGACUUGGCAAUGGACCCUCCCCUUCUAGUAAGAGCAGGCAGCCAAUUUUUUACUUUUUCAAGCUCAACAAAGCAAAGGUUGUAGCGCUCCAUCCUUAGUUAUCAAUAAGGAAGAAAAACUU
rnacentral:misc_RNA from 1 species